UUAUUAAACACUAUGAUCAUGAGAUCAUGAGUAAUAAUUUUUUUGGCUAUAUAAGUAGACAAAUGAACAGCCCUGCCAUUCAACAAACAUUCUACCCAGCAGAUAGACGUUCAUCAGCCUAGCAGCAUCAACAACUGCAGUAAAAAAUACAGAGCAGUAAUAUCUACACUUGUUUUAAUCAAGCAACCCCCACUGAAAAGAUCCUAAAAGAGGAAUUGAUCGAGACACAACGUGAAAUCCAGCAAUCCAAACAAGUUGUCUGCACCAUCGAAAGAAACACUAUGGAGAUUCCACGGCAGACCAUUGAGAUAACUCACGUUGAGGAGUGUCUAAACGAGGCUAACGAAAUCAUUAGAACUAGUGAUGACAUCAUGCUUAUGAAUACAAUUUGUUUAACAAAAGAAAGGGAAGCGGCACUUCCCUUUUAUCAAUAGAACUAGUGAUGACAUCAUGCUUAUGAAUAAAAUUUGUUUAACAAAAGAAAGGGAAGCUGCACUUCCCUUUUAUCAAUAGAA